ensembl:processed_transcript
AAACAGAGGAAGUUUUCGCAUUCUGACUGCAGCCUGAGUUCCCCGGAGCAAGGCUGCUUCUCUCCACCCACUCCUCACCAAGAACUCCUGAACUUGAGAGUGGACGACUUCAAAGCUAGCUCUCACAGACUCACCUGGAAAAGAGUUCAGCUGCGCGUUCAUUGAACCGAGAGGCCAGAUCACCUAUGUGAGGCGGUGGGAACCAUAUGGAGAUUUAUAUUAGAACUUCAGCAAAGUGCACAGCUGCAGCCGGCAGAAGCCAGCUCUCGGGCUGACAGGCAAAUGAACCAGAUCGUGGACGGGGCCUCUGGGUGGCAGCUCCGGCCUUUUGGUUGUUGGACAACUAUAGUCAGAACUGAAAUGGAACAGGGGCAGGAGAAAUAACACACUUUUACUCCACGCAACUGUUGCUUUCACAUGAUCUUCAGGAAUGUAACUGGGAUAAUUGUCCAAAUUGAAUCCCAUACCCUGUCAUGCAUACCAGAAUAGGAGUCCUGUCUUAACUGAGCAAUAUACACUAUGGAGAGAUCCUUCAAAACCCGUCGGGACGAAUAACAGAUGAAUUCAUAAAACUGUUCAUCUCUGUUAUCCUGAAUGGUCACUCAGACAACAUUUUACUCAACUAUAAAGGGGAACACUUAAAGUGCAUAUGAGAAGAGAAGAGAAUGACCACAGGAGAAAAUCAUCUCAGGUAAAACGAAAAGGCACAAAUGUAGAGAGUAAUUAAUCUUAGAAUAUUAAAGAGAAAAUGAUUAUGUCUGUGUUUGGUAUAAGAAAUGGUCCUUCCCUUUAUGAAGCUACGUAUUUGGGAUUUUCACUGAUGGUUUUCCUUCAAGAGUUUACAGUAUUACUUGCCUUUGUCAACCUUUUGUUUGGUUUUGUGAUCAAUGCCCAGUGUCCAUCAUUCUGAGGACAUAUGUGUAUGUUGAUUUAUACAAUUCAGGUACAAGAUGGUUGAAUAGGAAGCUAUUUAAUGAAAAGGAAAAUAUGUUCUCAGUGGUUAUACAUUAUAAAAGGAAGUAAAAAUCUGAUAGAAAAGUAUAAGCUCAUAGUUUAUUUUUAAUCUUUUCCAUAUAUCUAGUAAGACAAUAAUGUCAAAGUAUAUUUUGUAGUAAUAAAAGCUACAGCCAGUGUUUCCUCUUUCUUUUUUUUAAACAUAAAAUGUAUAAAUAUAUAAGGAAAUACUUUUACUACAAUUGGAUGCAUGAUUGUUGAUUAUUUACUACAGUUUUAAUAAGUAGGAGAAUGAUUUGAAAAUAAAUAAUGGUGAAAAUUUGUGUAGGCCAAAUUAUCUGUAUUAAACUGGAGAAAAUACAUUCUAUUUUUAUUUAUUUCAAAACAUGCCAAAUCAUGAAGUAAUUACUAUGCAGUAUUAUUUUUCACAAUGAAGAUAUAAUUAAGAAAAGCUAAAUCAUUUUAGAUAUGAGUGCAAUGAUUAACGAUUGUACAACUUAUAAUUUUGCUUCAGAUGAGCUUAGAAUCCUAAAAAUGUACAUGUAACUGGCUUCAUGUGUGCUUACUGGCUUGCUUUCUUACAGUGUAGUAGCUGACAGAAUUAAGAAUCAUUUAUUUCAUUUCAACCUGUUGAACAGAGGAAUUAUAUGUAGCUGUGUAUUUUGUUGAAAGGAUAUAGUUCUUGGGAAAUAGAUUUAAAUGUGUUUUGUUGAAAGGGAAUGUAUGCUCCUUGGUGUGAUAUAAGCGACUACAAAUAUUCCAGAAUAGCAGGAAUAACACCGAUCAUGUCAUUGAUUUUAGGGUUUUUUGAUACCAUAUCUUUUCCUCACUGCUGUAAAAGUUUAAUUUCAUCCCNNNNNNNNNNNNNNNNNNNNNNNNNNNNNNNNNNNNNNNNNNNNNNNNNNNNNNN